rnacentral:rRNA from 1 species
GGAACCUGUUUUGAAGUUGAUAGUCCACGAUUAAUUAAAUUUAUUUUAGAAGUUUGUAUAUCGUCGUAGUUGAAUAUUUUAAAAGAAUUAAUAUUCAAAAUUUUAAUUUAAAUAAAAAAUCAGAUCAAGAUGCAGCUUAUAAAUAAAAAAAAAUGGGUUACAAUAAAUUUAUUUUUGAAAUAAUAAAUGAAUAUUUAUUAUGAAAUUGGAUUUAAUAGUAAUUUUAAAUAUAUUUUUAAAAUGAUUUAAGCUCUAAAAUAUGUACAUAUUGCCCGUCGCUUUUAUUACAAAAUAAAAUAAGUCGUAACAAAGUAGAUUUACUGGAAAGUGAGUCUGGAAGA